CCCUGGCUCAGAACGAACGCUGGCGGCAGGCUUAACACAUGCAAGUCGAGCGCCCCGCAAGGGGAGCGGCAGACGGGUGAGUAACGCGUGGGAAUCUACCCAACUCUACGGAAUAACUCAGGGAAACUUGUGCUAAUACCGUAUACGCCCUUCGGGGGAAAGAUUUAUCGGAGUUGGAUGAGCCCGCGUUGGAUUAGCUAGUUGGUGGGGUAAAGGCCUACCAAGGCGACGAUCCAUAGCUGGUCUGAGAGGAUGAUCAGCCACAUUGGGACUGAGACACGGCCCAAACUCCUACGGGAGGCAGCAGUGGGGAAUAUUGGACAAUGGGCGCAAGCCUGAUCCAGCCAUGCCGCGUGUGUGAUGAAGGCCUUAGGGUUGUAAAGCACUUUCACCGGAGAAGAUAAUGACGGUAUCCGGAGAAGAAGCCCCCGGCUAACU
rnacentral:rRNA from 1 species